rnacentral:rRNA from 1 species
AGCAGCCGCGGUAAUUCCAGCUCCAAUAGCGUAUAUUAAAGUUGUUGCAGUUAAAAAGCUCGUAGUUGAAUUUCGGGAUCAAUAUUUCGGUCAUGCCGUUGGUAUGCACUGUUAUCAUUGAUUUCUCACCUUCUAAAGAACCGUAAUGCCAUUAAUUUGGUGUUACGGGGAAUUAGGACUGUUACCUUGAAAAAAUUAGAGUGUUUAAAGCAGGCUCACGCUUGAAUACAUUAGCAUGGAAUAAUGAAAUAGGACGUUUGAUUCUAUUUUGUUGGUUUCUAGGAUCGACGUAAUGAUUAAUAGGGAUAGUUGGGGGCAUUAGUAUUCAAUUGUCAGAGGUGAAAUUCUUGGAUUUAUUGAAGACUAACUACUGCGAAAGCAUUUGCCAAGGAUGUUUUCAUUAAUCAAGAACGAAAGUUAGGGGAUCGAAGACGAUCAGAUACCGUCGUA